AGUCCUUUCUGAUGCCAUUGUAGCAUGUGGCUACACUGGUCCAAUUAACAGCAAUUGCAAAAGGGCCAUCAUUGAGUAGGCUAUGUUAAUGUAGCAUUAAACAAGUCAUGCAAUUUUUGAAAAUUGAGUUAUUACAAGUUCAUUAUUCUUUUAACUAGGGCCAUCAGUUUGCAUUCGGUGAUGAGACUCAUACCGAUGCUAAGUCAGUUUAGAGAAGGACUGGCCAUGUAGGGUUUGGAUGAGCUGUUGCCACAUCACCACCAGGCACUUCAGCCCCUCUUUCUUCCUGGGAACCUUAAACAGGUAAGUACAAAUUCUUUAGGCCUCUGUAAAAAAAAUAUGUCCAUUACAAAAACAUAUAGGAAAUGCAGAGAAGCUGAAGCUGUUUUUGUUCCAACAGUUCUAAUCGAUUCUUAUAAAAAUACUAAAAAUCAAAUCGAUUCACGAGUACAAGAAUCUGUUUGUUUAACAUUGUUUGCCCCAAUUUAUUUUUUACAGCUAUCAUUUUUUUUACAGACAGCAAUUUUAAGUUUUCUUUAAGGAAGCUAUCAGAUGUAUUUUUUAUUCUAAUAUCAUGGCAAUGAAGUUUUACAUAUUUUUUAGUGUUAUACAUCUUCAUUUUCUUAUAUUAAUUUAGCUCUGCAGGAUAAGCAGAAGUAAAAUUUGUAUAACUGAAAAAUGUCCUAUAUUUAUUUGAGUUCUUAAGUAAUCAUAAGAAUAGUCCAUUACCUAUUUGAUAGCUGCAGCCCUAACAGUUUUAUCUUUUUAAUUCACAGUAUUUUUAAAAACGUCUUUUGUAGGUGGAUGCAGACUUUGUUGUGGAGGCACUGGCUCCUCAGUACAGUGACAAUGGAUCAGUAAGACACAAAGGAAGUGGACAUUAUCAACUUUUUGCAGGACCUCUUGCAAAACCUGGAAGAAGGAGGAACAGAUGACCAAGAUGGGAGCCCAUCAGAUGGCUGUGGAGCAAAGCAGUUGUCAGUGCAAGGAUUUUUUUCAGUGGGUUUCAGGCCAGGCACAUGUGCCACUAACAGACACAGAAAGAGAAUUUUACAAGAGAACUGUAAAUGUUGAUCAUGACAGUACCACCCGGUAUGGACCACACUUAAUCACCUUACCUACAUGGCACGUUACUACAUACACUGACUUUGAAAGUCAGCUUACUCAGGCAGUCUGUGAUAGAUUUGAUUUUAGCAGACAUUAAGUGAAAACAAGAUGGCCACUGUUCUGGGUUCAGGUUACUGUAUAAUGGUUCAUAUUUAACUUUGAAUCCAAAAAGACAAAUGGUUUUGUUAAAUAAUGUGAUGUUUUGGAGCUAGAAAGCGACAUUGUUACAUGAAUCCAUAAAGUUAGGCUUAUUGCCAUUUCAAAUACAUGUUAUGUAUUUCUUUUGUAACAUUAAAAAAGCACUGGAACUGA